AGAGAUUUAGGUUAAAUCAGACCAGAGGCCUUCAAAGCCACUAGCAAGUAACUUAUACUUAAUCUCUG
rnacentral:tRNA from 4 species